rnacentral:rRNA from 1 species
CCUACGGGAGGCAGCAGUGGGGAAUAUUGGACAAUGGGCGAAAGCCUGAUCCAGCCAUGCCGCGUGUGUGAAGAAGGCCUUCGGGUUGUAAAGCACUUUCAGUGGGGAAGAAAGCCUUGGGGCUAAUACCCUCGAGGAAGGACAUUACCCACAGAAGAAGCACCGGCUAACUCCGUGCCAGCAGCCGCGGUAAUACGGAGGUUGCGAGCGUUAAUCGGAAUUACUGGGCGUAAAGCGCGCGUAGGCGGUCUGAUAAGCCGGUUGUGAAAGCCCCGGGCUCAACCUGGGAACGGCAUCCGGAACGGUCAGGCUAGAGUGCAGGAGAGGAAGGUAGAAUUCCCGGUGUAGCAGUGAAAUGCGUAGAGAUCGGGAGGAAUACCAGUGGCGAAGGCGGCCUUCUGGACUGACACUGACGCUGAGGUGCGAAAGCGUGGGUAGCAAACAGGAUUAGAUACCCGGGUAGUC